AUCCAUGAUGCUUGCUAAAAUCUCGACCAAAAUUUAAAAUUCUCAUAUUGAAUACAUUAGAGACAUAUCGUAAGCAUUUUCUUGUGAUCAAACCCCUCAUUACAGAAACUUAAACAAUAGUUGAAUAAAUCGUUAUUAUAUGGAUAGCUUAAUAACGGCCCACCAAGGGAACUGGUAACUAAAAUGUGGCCCGCGACAAAAAUGAGUUUGAUACCCCUACUAUAAAUAGUCUGCAGCACUUUACCAAAGAUUGGUUGCCAUUAAUGUGACGCACACAUACACACACAUCUCCGUUUACUGAGAAUUUAUUUGGAAAAAUCAAUCAUGCAUCAUAAUUGCAUGGUAACGUAAUUGCUGUGUAAUUAUACGAGCCAAAUUACAACUCAACCAUGAUUAUAGGAGUAUAAACAGGAAAAAUCAUAAAUGACAUAAAAUUGUCCAACUUUUUCUUUUUUUUUUUGCAAUGCAAUUGCAAAAUGACAGACUCGUCACGAUGGAAAGAUGCAUGAAGCUGGCGAGCCACAAGAAACUCUCUUCAUUGUUCUUAGAAACGGAUGGCUAUGCCAUGAAACUGGAUCACAAAGCAGACUCAAAGACCAAAUUUACAAAAAAGAAAAAAAACAUCUACGAAGGAGCAAUGUAAUAAAUGCAAACAAUGUACAACCAAGACAUGACAAGAAAUGGACGGCGCCUUGUGAAGCAAAAAAGCAAAAA